GGGUGUUUAGCUCAGUGGGAGAGCACUGCCUUCACACGGCAGGGGUCGUUGGUUCGAAUCCAAUAAUACCCA
rnacentral:tRNA from 1 species